CAACCCUCAGGCCCCCCUAGGGCGUGCCUGGUGUUGGGGAUCGGCGGCUGGGUGGGAUGGUCUCUCCUCCUGGGGGAAGCCGCCUGCCCGCACCCGCCGCCCCCGAAAUGAAUUGGCGGUCUCGUCGCGGCCUCCUCUGCGUAGUAGCACACAACCUCGCAGCAGGGAGCGCGGCGCGGCCACUGCCGUAAAACGCACCAAAACUCCUCAG
rnacentral:misc_RNA from 1 species